rnacentral:rRNA from 1 species
AUUGAACGCUGGCGGCAUGCCUUACACAUGCAAGUCGAACGGCAGCACGGGAGCAAUCCUGGUGGCGAGUGGCGAACGGGUGAGUAAUAUAUCGGAACGUGCCCAGUCGUGGGGGAUAACGUAGCGAAAGCUACGCUAAUACCGCAUACGAUCUAUGGAUGAAAGCGGGGGAUCGCAAGACCUCGCGCGAUUGGAGCGGCCGAUAUCAGAUUAGGUAGUUGGUGAGGUAAAGGGCUCACCAAGCCGACGAUCUGUAGCUGGUCUGAGAGGACGACCAGCCACACUGGGACUGAGACACGGCCCAGACUCCUACGGGAGGCAGCAGUGGGGAAUUUUGGACAAUGGGCGCGAAGCCUGAUCCAGCAAUGCCGCGUGCAGGAUGAA